CAAGAGUAACUCCAUCACAGAAUAUAUUAUUGUGGAGGACUGGCUUGAUGGCAGAGGUCAUGUGAAGAUUGAACAAAUAAAGGAAGCASAACUAAGUACAUAUCGUACACAGUUGAUGUGAGCCAAGUCACGUACGAGAGUAAAAACAGCUAGUAAGAGCCAAGGACACAUUGGCUCCAAUGUGUUACCAAUGAUAAGGAACUUGCGGCGUUGGGGUAGACAAAAAUUGCUAUUACCAAUAAGGAGCUCAGCUUUUGCAAUAUGUAUGAGCCUGAUUAGUCCUGUGCUAUAUAAAGRAAGAYCACRCCUAAUAAAGWUGAAGUAUGCUGAUCACUCAUAUUGAGCGUCUGGGUCUUCCCUCCGUCGGCUCCUCCCGUGCAAGUUUCCAACAAAUGGCGCCCGAACAGGGACCCUGCCGGUCAGRGACUCGGUGAUUAAAAACUCAGGAGUCGACGGAGUACUAGGGACAGCUGGUCCUGCUGUGCUAAAGGCGACGAGACACAAUCGGGAGUCUACGUGCCAGAGUUACAGAGGAGGUGGAGAGGACACAAACAAAGGGGGGGUCCGCACCCAGGACGAGAAGGGGUCCUGCCAGAAAGUCUCGCCGCAGGUCUUGCAAAGGUUGCAACGGUAAGUGAGUAACCACGGAGCGACAAGCGGCUUAUGAUUUGUUAAGAUGCUUUUUAGAAAAGCGGGGUACUCAAGGAAUAGAAUGUCAUAAGGAACUCCCAGGGCUAUUAGCUUACGGAGUGGCUAAGGGGUGUUUUGUUAACCCAGAUACYRUGUUYGAACAAACUGAAUGGAAAAAAUUUGGGGACAAGUUGUUUGAUGAAGUAAUAAGUGACAACAAGACAGCAAAAAAGCUGAUGAAACCGUGGAGGGCAGUUACUAAUGCUCUCGCAGUACAUCAGGCUGAGCAGAAAGUAGCUGCCGCCGCCGCGGAGCGUUUGGGAAGCCCCGAUGGGUUCAAGGAACCCCCGCAUGCAGAGGUGUCCCCAUACCCAUCGCCCCCCUCGAUCCGAACCUUUACUAUUGCCCAGGGAGGGUCUGGGAACACAGGCCUGCCAAAAGGAGCAACAUUGACCAUGCGGCAGAUCCCCCCUCCUCCCUCAGCGCCUCCAAUAGAGGAUGAGACGGGGGGCGGGGGAUCGGAAGCAAACCCUUUUYUCACAAACACCAACCCAUUUGUAUCAGGUCCCGCRAGCAGUGCUAAUAAGUGGGAAAAAAUAGCAAGGGAAGCUAUGCAGGAAGGGAAUUACGAGGCAGCAGUACAACUAAGUCAGGCAUUCCCCGUGGUAUAUUCGCCCCCCGAUGCUCAGGGAAACGUCACCGUAAAUAUGACAAAUCUAGAUUGGAAGUUGUUAACGCAAUUGAGAUCUACUGUAAAUGAUUCGGGAAUAAAGGGGGAACCAACCCGACAGAUGUUGGAUUAUAUUUGGGGAACGCGCAUUGGCACGCAGUAUGCCAGGAAGCGGUAGCUGUUAUAAGGGCUCCAGGGGACCCGUUGUAUGGAGUAACGUUAGAUGAGUUGAUGGGGAUAGGCGCGUAUUUCCGCUUAGAAGCGCAGGCCCUGCUGGGACCAGAUAAAGUUAAAGAAUCAAUGAAACUAGCAAGGCGGGCGCUUGAUCAAUUAAAGGAGCCAGGGGGUAUCCCAUCUUAUAUGGGAAUAAAGCAGGGCCGGGAAGAGCCUUUCGGCUURUU
ensembl:lncRNA